GUUCAGGUCAUAUAGCUGUUAUGACAUAGUGCAGGUCAUAUAGCUGUUAUGGCAUAGUGCAGGGCAUAUAGCUGUUAUGGCAUAGUGCAGGUCAUAUAGCUGUUAUGGCAUAGUGCAGGUCAUAUAGCUGUUAUGGCAUAG